AUUGAACGCUGGCGGUAGGCCUAACACAUGCAAGUCGAGCGGAGCGGCGGACGGGGGAGUAAUGACAAGGAAUAUGCCUGGUAGUGGGGGAAAAUGUCCGGAAACGGGCGCUAAUACCGCAUAAUAUAAGAUGAGACUAGGUCGGCUUAGCUAGUUGGGGGGGUAAAGGCCAACGAAGGCGCCGAUCCGUAACUGGUCUGAGAGGAUGAUAAGUCGAACUGGAACUGAGACACGGUCCACACGCCUACGGUAGGCAGCGGUGGGGAAGUUUGGGCAAUGGGCGAAAGCCUGAUCCAGCCAUGCCGCGUGUGUGAGGAAGGUCUUCGGAUUGUAGAGCACUUUAAGUUGGGAGGCGUUACCAACAGAAUAAGCACCGGCUAACUUCGUGCCAGCAGCCGCGGUAAUAC
rnacentral:rRNA from 1 species